CCACAAUGUACCAUGUGUCAGUCAGUCAGUCAGGUCUCACAAAUACUUUAAUGUUACAGUGUUGUGUGUCCACAAUGUACCAUGUGUCAGUCAGGUCUCACAAAAUACUUUAAUGUUACAGUGUUGUGUGUCCACAAUGUACCAUGUGUCUGUCAGUCAGGUCUCACAAAAUACUUUAAUGUUACAUUGGUGUGUGUCCACAAUGUACCAUGUGUCAGUCAGGUCUCA